UACGUAGGGGGCGAGCGUUAUCCGGAUUCACUGGGUGUAAAGGGAGCGUAGACGGCCGAUCAAGUCUGGAGUGAAAGCCCGGGGCCCAACCCCGGGACUGCUCUGGAAACUGGUGGGCUAGAGUGCUGGAGAGGUAAGUGGAAUUCCUAGUGUAGCGGUGAAAUGCGUAGAUAUUAGGAGGAACACCAGUGGCGAAAGCGGCUUACUGGACAGUGACUGACGUUGAGGCUCGAAAGCGUGGGGAGCAAACAGG
rnacentral:rRNA from 1 species